UACGAAGGGGGCUAGCGUUGCUCGGAAUCGACUGGGCGUAAAGCGCACGUAGGCGGCUUGUUAAGUCAGGGGUGAAAUCCUGGAGCUCAACUCCAGAACUGCCUUUGAUACUGGCGAGCUUGAGUUCGGGAGAGGUGAGUGGAACUGCGAGUGUAGAGGUGAAAUUCGUAGAUAUUCGCAAGAACACCAGUGGCGAAGGCGGCUCACUGGCCCGAUACUGACGCUGAGGUGCGAAAGCGUGGGGAGCAAACAGG
rnacentral:rRNA from 1 species